rnacentral:lncRNA from 1 species
AUCUGUGUUGUCGCCGUCAGAAACGGAAAUGAGGAAAUUACGUCAAGUAUAUUGUAACGUCAUCGCGUUAUUUGUCCUUGUUUAGCGGUUGAGUCUAGAAUGGAUACAGCUAUUGUCAACAUGUACUUUUUGUAGCAGAUUUAGAAUAUUUUUUUACGCAGUUUAGGAUAAUUAACGCAUCAGAUUAGGAUUAUUAGGUUAAGGCUAGGAAAAGAGCAGCCCGGUUUAUUAACCCGAAUAUUUGGUCUCGGGAAUAAAACAGUAGCACCGAUGACCGACUGCGAGGGACUUCAAGACGUUUCAUGUAGUUUUUACUCUUGAAGAAUAUGGAGGUAGUGGACAGUCCUCUUAACCUCGCCCAUCUCAGCAGUCCAGGAGGCAGACCGCUUGUUGGCAGCUGGUAAAU